AGCAAUCCUCCCACCUCAGCCUCCCAGAGUGCCAGGAUUACAGGAAUCUAGUUUUGUUCCUUGGUCACUCUUCUGCUCAACCUGCAUGGAGACUCAUUUGUCCCAUAAGCAAAGUGCUAUAGUUUGGAUAUUUGACCUUCUAAAUACCGUGUUGAAAUCUGAUCCCUAAUGUUGGAGGUAGGCCCUAAUGGUAGGUAUUUGGGUCUUGGGGGCAGAUCCCUCAUGAAGGGGCCCGGUGCCCUCAUGGUAAUGAGCAAGUUCUCACUGUAUUGGUUCCUGAGAGAGCUGGUUGUUAAAAAGAGCUUAGCACCUCUCCCCUUCUCUCUCUUUCUUCCUUUUUUGUAUGUGAUACUCUGCACACGCUGGCUCUCCUUCGUCUUCCACCAGGAGUAGAAGCAGCCAGAGUCCCUCACCAGAGGCAGAUGCUAGCACCAUGCUUCUUGUACAGCCUGCAGAACUGUGAGCCAAAUAAACCUCUUUUCUUUAUAAACUA